CAGAUUGCUAGGUGGAGGCUUUUUCUCCGUAAUGUGCACCUGACCCUGGCACGGCAUGGCAGGCCUGUGAGCAAGCUGACCAGUGACUGGGCUUCUGAUAAGGCCACCAUCCUUGGGGGACACAAAGAUGACAGAAGACCCAUUAUCUACCCUCAGAAAAACCUGCAAAAAACUCAAGGAAAAAAGUGUAAACAACACAUUCUGAAGAAUCCUAUUGUGAUGCAGAGACUUAGGGAAUUCUAAGAGACCCCCAGAUUCCAGGGGAAGAGAGAGAGGGAACUGGCUGACCAUGGGGACUCCAUCCCAGGACUAAAAGGCCUGCUGCGGGGUUUCUGGCUUCUAGAAAAACUUGAGAAGGAGGGAGACGCUUGAGAGGAGCAGGAUCUGAACCGAUCUGGGAGGAAUGAGGCCGGAAAAAGUGUAGGAGUCCAGAAGUCAAGUACUGGCAGUGUCCUUCUGAACUUGGCCUGAAAAAUGAAUCCAGUUGUUUCACAGCCAACAUAUGACCCAAGAAGUGUGGCCAUUAGUCACUGGCAAACUAGCCCCUGGGACUGCUUUGCUGACAGGAAGAUUUGCCUCUGUGGGACGUUCUGUCCCCUGUACCUGUCGUUCAUGAUUGCUGCCGACAUGAAUGAGUGCUGCCUGUGUGGAGUCAGUAUGGCCAUGAGGACCUUGUACCGGACCCGCUAUGGCAUCCCGGGAUCUAUGUGCAAUGAUUGGUUGUGGUGGACAUUUUUUUCUUCAUGUGCUGUGUGUCAACUGAAGCGAGAUAUUGACAAAAGAAAAGCAAUGAAUGCUUUAUAAAAGAUGCUUGCUCAAAUUCACAUUUUGGUAAAAAGGCUGGAAUGAAAUACUGCAUCUGUUCAGUGCCAUCUCACCUCAAGUUUCAGAAACUAAUUCAAACUAGUCAAAUGGCUUCAAAAGGAAUCCCUGUAAAAAAGCAUUCAGUGGAUUUAUUAAUAUUUCAUAAGUGUUCACAUUUAUAAA